AAAUCAAACAUUUUUAACUAUGCAUUCAGGUAAGGGAUGAUAUUGAAAAACAAACUCCCUUAACAACAUCAAAGACCUGUAAAAGCUACACAGUACACAAAACAAGCUUCCAGUAUGGCUAUGCAUGGCAGAACUAUGCAUCCAUAAAAAGAAAGGAACAUUGAUAAAGAUAAAAAUAAAUAAUAAAAAAUAGAAAAAAAAAAAAAAAAAAAAAAUUAAAGGAAAGAAGAAGCUGAAUAUAUAGCAAGUCAAAAUUCAGAACCAAAACUAAUACCUCUUCCCGAGAACUACGCCAAUGAUGAUAGAUACAAAU